AGUCUGGUGCCAGCAGCCGCGGUAAGACGUAGGGGGCGAGCGUUAUCCGGAUUCAUUGGGCGUAAAGGGCUCGUAGGUGGUUACGUAAGUCGGAUGUGAAAACUCGAGGCUCAACUUCGAGACGCCAUCCGAUACUGCGUUGACUUGAGUCCGGUAGAGGAGUGUGGAAUUCCUAGUGUAGCGGUGAAAUGCGCAGAUAUUAGGAGGAACACCUAUUGCGAAGGCAGCACUCUGGGCCGGUACUGACACUGAGGAGCGAAAGCGUGGGUAGCAAACAGGAUUAGAUACCCUGGUAGUCCACGCCGUAAACGGUGGGCACUAGAUGCGGGGACUUUCAACGGUUUCCGUGUCGUAGCUAACGCAUUAAGCGCCCCGCCUGGGGAGUACGGCCGCAAGGCUAAAACUCAAAGGAAUUGACGGGGGCCCGCACAAGCAGCGGAGCAUGUUGCUUAAUUCGAGGCAACGCGAAGAACCUUACCUAGGUUUGACAUGUACGGAAAAGCCACAGAGAUGUGGUGUCCUUCGGGGCCGUACACAGGUGGUGCAUGGCCGUUC
rnacentral:rRNA from 1 species